rnacentral:rRNA from 1 species
CCCGUACCCCAAACCGACACAGGUGGACAAGUAGAGAAUACUAAGGCGAGCGAGAGAACUCUGGUUAAGGAACUCGGCAAAAUAGUUCCGUAACUUCGGGAGAAGGAACGCCCAAGUAAAGUGAUUAAUUAACUUUAUAAGCUUGAAAGGGCCGCAGUGAUCAGACUCAAGCGACUGUUUAUCAAAAACACAGGAGGAUGCAAAGUUCUAAUACAACGUAUAUCCUCUGACACCUGCCCGGUGCUGGAAGGUUAAGUGGAGAGGUUAGCUUCGGCGAAGCUUUGAAAUUAAGCCCCAGUAAACGGCGGCCGUAACUAUAACGGUCCUAAGGUAGCGAAAUUCCUUGUCGGGUAAGUUCCGACCUGCACGAAUGGUGUAACGAUUUGAGUACUGUCUCAACCAGAGACUCGGCGAAAUUGCAAUGUGAGUAAAGAUGCUCACUAUGCGCGACAGGACGGAAAGACCCCGGAACCUUUACUGCAACUUGAUAUUGAAUGUUGGUAUGCAGUAUGCAGGAUAAGUGGGAGACUUUGAAACAAUGGCGCUAGUCAUUGUGGAGUCAUCCUUGAGAUACCACUUUCUUCAUAUUGACCUUCUAACCUAGAUCCGUUAUCCGGAUCAGGGACAUUGUCUGGUAGGCAGUUUCACUGGGGCGGUGGCCUCCAAAAAAGUAACGGAGGCGCUCUAAGGUCACCUCAGCGUGGACGGCAAUCACGCAUUGAGUGUAAGUGCAAAAGGUGGCUUGACUGUGACACAAACAAGUGAAGCAGGUACGAAAGUAGGAACUAGUGAUCCCAUGGUUGCAUGUGGGUGCGCCAUGGCUCAUCGGCUAAAAGGUACUCCGGGGAUAACAGGCUUAUACCCCCCAAGAGUCCAUAUCGACGGGGGUGUUUGGCACCUCGAUGUCGGCUCUUCUCAUCCUGGGGCUGGAGCAGGUCCCAAGGGUUAGGCUGUUCGCCUAUUAAAGAGGAACGCGAGCUGGGUUCAGAACGUCGUGAGACAGUUCGGUCCCUAUCCGUCGCGCACGUAAGAAAUUUGAAGAAAGUUGUCCCUAGUACGAGAGGACCGGGAUGAACGAUCCGCUGGUGUGCCAGUUGUUCUGCCAAGAGCACGGCUGGUUAGCUACGAUCGGAAAGGAUAAGCGCUGAAAGCAUCUAAGUGCGAAGCCCCUUCUAAGAUAAGAUUUCUCAUCGGGUUAACCGAUUAAGACUCCUUAUAGAACAUGAGGUUGAUAGGUCAGAAGUGUAAGUACAGUAAUGUAUGUAGCUGACUGAUACUAAUAAGUCGAGGGCUUGAGCUG